rnacentral:rRNA from 1 species
UACAGGAGGUGCGAGCGUUAAUCGGAAUUACUAGGGCGUAAGCGCACGUAGGCGCUUGGUAUGAUCCGGGUGUGAAAGCCCCGGGCUCAACCUGGGAACUGCAUUUGUGAGCUGCACGGCUAGAGUGCGGACAGAGGGAGAUGGAAUUCCGACGUGUAGCAGUGAAAUGCGUAGAUAGUGCGGGAGGAACACCGAUGGCGAAGGGACAAUCCCCGUGGGCCUGCACGUGACCGCUCAUGCACGAAAGCCGUGGGGAGCAAACAGG